AUGGGGUUUAUGGUUCCCCUUUUCCAGUCAGUGGGAACUUCACUGGACUGCCAUGACUUCUCAAAUAUCAUGGACUGUGGCUCAGCAAUUUCAUCUGCCAGUUAAUGAAAGUGCAGUUUCCCUCUGUAAGCAGAUGGGAGCCCCCUUCUCACAGCACCGGCUUAAUUUUAGCUCUGGACAGCACAAGAAGGAAGCUGGGAGCACAGUCUCAAAAGUCUUGCUACUCUAACACAGAUGUUGGCAAGUAUGGUGAACUUCAUUUGGAGACCUUAAGAUUGAGAAGGUCUAUGCUUUGGAGGAAGGUAGAAGUUAUGCCUCUCCCCUAUUCUGGAGAGAGCAGAGUUUGUUCAGGGUCGUGCCCUGAUUUUUGUUACUCCUGCAGUUCAUCCCAACACUCUGGGCAAGAAUGAUGCAGUUGGAAGAUCACAGGUAUCACACGGGCACAACCACUGACUACCACAGCCAAUGCAUAAUUAGCGUCAUUGCCACCCAGUAGAUAACUGUGGCACUGAGAAUCACGGAGCACCUUAAAUGCCAAGUAAAUUCAGAGAGAUGCAGGGAUUUUCAGGGUACUAUGGAAAUGAGAACUCAAGAGAAACAGCAGCACCCAGGCUAGAAAGCUGUAUUACAAAAUGCUAGUCUCUGUGUGCCUUCACCACACUGGAAGUCUCCUGAUCUUCCCACUUUCUGGAGACAGGACACCAGCUCGUUCCAGUGCCAGCCCUGGGUGGACUGGACUUGGGCUUCCCAUACAGGUUCCCACUGCACACUCUGUCACACACCAGCGCCUGCUGCCUUUCCCAGCACUCCACGUUGCAAAACUCCUCAUGUGGCAACCGUGUCAGCAGGAGGUUAAUCAAAAAAACACACAGUUACCAAACACAUGUUUCAUGAAUCUGCUUAAUUACAGACUGAGUAGGACUGAGGAGGGUACGCCUAAAAUCCGACCUCCCAAAGCUGUCUGGCAGGCAGGACACUGGGCAGCCUGUCUCUGCCCGCACUCACAUCUGUGCUUGGCUCCCACCAGAAGGCAGGGAACUGCAGUCUGCUGAACUCCCACUCCUGGAGAGAAGGAAAGCUUUAAUAUCUAGCUUGCUUGGAGCUGAGCAGGAAGCCUCAGAAGUGAGAGGACAAGACAAAUGUGUUUGAAGAUGCAAUAAAAUGUGAGCACAGUGGAUUUUUCUGGUGAUGAAUGAGAUUCAUAACAAACAAGCAAGAUUUUAGCAUGCAUCACCUCAUAGGGUUCUUCCUUUCCUGUCAUUUUAACAGAAGGUUGUCAAGUUCUACAAUCAAAAUCUAGUAAGAAGAAAAACCUUAAUGCCAGAUUCAUGAGUGAAUCUCAGUCAUGCAGCAAAAUGAGCUGGAACAUAACAGUAGAUUUAGUCCAGAUUCUUCAGUACUGAUGACUGAGGUACAACCAAAUCAUCCACCUGAGGCUGUGGUUGUGCAACCAUUAAUCCUGAAUCUGCGUACUAUUCCAUCAGCCAAUCGUGAUGAUUUUGUGAACAUCACGCACAGGCUCCUAAGACCACUUCUGCCAAGGUAAUCAGACCACAUGAUGUCUUUUCAACACGCUAUCUGCAGGACAACAGAUGAAACCUGACACAACACAGUCAGAGUGGCGUGGACACGUUUGAGCAACAUGCUUUUUGACAGAUGAGUUACUAACUAAACCUGUCAAUGUCUUUUUUUUGUUGUUUUUUUUUAAUAAACUGGAGUUAGCAGACAAAGUUUA